CAGUGUUCUUAUCUACUGAUUGUCUUCAUGGAGUUCAGAUAUUAAGUGAGCGAAGUAUAAAUUAAAAUCAAUCGUUGCAAAUACACAAUCAGCAGUGCCUUCUUAAAAAUUGUGUAAGAAACACGUGUUAAUAUGAAAGGCAUAGCGCUGUUGCUUCUCUGCGCAGCGGCUGCAGCUCAAGCGAGCCCGAUUUGCACUCAAGAAAUGGUUGGUGUUAUGUUACCUCAUCCAAAGUGCGACCAUUUUUAUACGUGUUUCUUUGGCAGUGCAGCGGAACAAUACUGCGGAGACGGUCUCCUAUUUAAUCCUGAACUUCAAGUAUGUGACUGGCCUUUCAAUGUAGACUGCGGUGACCGAAUUAUUCCCCCUAGAAAAUUAAUCGCAGAGAAAAAUACAAAAACGGAUAAUCGAUCUCCCGCUGAAAUUUGUGCGGAAGAUGGUUCUGAAGAUCUACUUCUCGACCAUGAAUAUUGCGACAAAUACUACAAGUGUAAUAAUGGUAAACCCGUCACCAUGCCUUGCCCACCUAAUCUUCUGUGGUUAAGUAAUCAAUUUAAUCAGUUUUGUUACUGGGCCGAUCAAGUAGACUGUGGUGACAGAAUUAGACCAGAGGGCUUCGAUCAAGAACCCGAUGAUGGAGUAAACGACAAUUUAACCCCAGCUGAGAUCUUCUGCAACCAGCCAGGUACUUGGUAUAUUGUAUUUGCACAUGAGAAUUGCAACCAAUUUUACCAAUGCCUUCAUGGAUACCCUGUAGAAUUGUCUUGUCCGGCAAAUCUAUUCUACGAUCUAGAAAAGGGAUAUUGUGAUUGGCCUGAAAAUGUCAACUGUGACAACCGAAUUAUACCAAAUGACAUAAGCAGUGGUAACCCUAACGACGAUGAUAAAGUCUCCGAGCAAGUAUCUGGAGGAAACAGCGAUCCUAGCCAAGCUCCUGCCAUCUGUGCCGCUGAAGAUUCAGACGGCGUUUUGGUUGCUCAUGAAAAUUGCAAUCAAUUCUAUAAAUGCUCCGAAGGAAAGCCUGUAGCAUUGGAUUGUCCGCAAAAUCUUCUCUACAAUCCAGAAAAGGAAUAUUGUGACUGGGAAUGGAACGUCGACUGUGGCAACCGUAUUAAACCAGAUGACGUAAGCAAUGGAAACUCUAACGAAGACCCCGACCAAGGAUCUGGAGGAAACAGCGAUCCUAGCCAAGCCCCUGCCAUCUGCGCCGCUGAAAAUUCAGAUGGCAUUUUGGUCGCUCAUGAAAAUUGCAAUCAAUUCUACAAAUGCUCCGAAGGAAAGCCUGCAGCAUUGGAUUGUCCGCAAAAUCUUCUUUACAAUCCAGAAAAGGAAUAUUGUGACUGGCCUUGGAAUGUUGACUGUGGCAACAGAGUUAUUCCUAGUGAAUAGUAGGUGAGAAGAGAAUCAGCCAAUACGUUCGGUCCUAAUCUUGUAGUGAAAUUUUGCGGCUGAAAAUUCUGUAGGUUUGAUUUUUUCUCAAGAAUAUUGCGACCAAUUCUACAUUUGCAAUCAUGGCCAACCUGUUACGAUGCAAAGCCCACCUGUUUUGGUGAGAAGAUUGUUCGCUAACCAAGUUGCAAUAAGAGCUAGUCCUUCUUCUGCACUAUUUUUAACAUCAGCCCAUGUUUUCCCUGAGAAGACGACAGCUUGUAAGUUCUAUUACGUCAUUAUUUUCGAGGUGUUCCUCUCAGCAGCUCAGUCAAAUAGUUUCUUAGAUGGCAUAGCGCUGUUGCUUCUCUGCGCAGCGGCUGCAGCUCAAGCGAGCCCGAUUUGCACUCAAGAAAUGGUUGGUGUUAUGUUACCUCAUCCAAAGUGCGACCAUUUUUAUACGUGUUUCUUUGGCAGUGCAACGGAACAAUACUGCGGAGACGGUCUCCUAUUUAAUCCUGAACUUCAAGUAUGUGACUGGCCUUUCAAUGUAGACUGCGGUGACCGAAUUAUUCCCCCUAGAAAAUUAAUCGCAGAGAAAAAUACAAAAACGGAUAAUCGAUCUCCCGCUGAAAUUUGUGCGGAAGAGGGUUCUGAAGAUCUACUUCUCGACCAUGAAUAUUGCGACAAAUACUACAAGUGUAAUAAUGGUAAACCCGUCACCAUGCCUUGCCCACCUAAUCUUCUGUGGUUAAGUAAUCAAUUUAAUCAGUUUUGUUACUGGGCCGAUCAAGUAGACUGUGGUGACAGAAUUAGACCAGAGGGCUUCGAUCAAGAACCCGAUGAUGGAGUAAACGACAAUUUAACCCCAGCUGAGAUCUUCUGCAACCAGCCAGGUACUUGGAAUGUUAUAUUCGCACAUGAGAAUUGCAAUCAAUAUUAUCAAUGCAUUUCUGGAAAACCUAUACUAAUGUCUUGUCCGUCACCUCUUGUCUUCAACCUAGAAAGAGGAUUUUGUGAUUGGCCUGUGCGUGUCAACUGUCAAGACCGAAUUAUACCAGAUGACAUAAGUGGUGAUGGAGGAAACGACGAUUUAACCCCAGCUGAGAUCUUCUGCAACCAGCCAGGUACUUUGAAUAUUAUAUUCGCACAUGAGAAUUGCAAUCAAUAUUAUCAAUGCUUUUUUGGAAAACCUUUAGAAUUGUCUUGUCCGGCAAAUCUAUUCUACGAUCUAGAAAGGCAUAUUUGUGAUUGGCCUGAAAAUGUCAACUGUAACAACCGAAUUAAACCAGAUGGUAUAAGCAGUGGUAACCCUAACGACGAUGAUAAAGUCUCCGAGCAAGUAUCUGGAGGAAACAGCGAUCCUAGCCAAGCUCCUGCCAUCUGUGCCGCUGAAGAUUCAGACGGCGUUUUGGUUGCUCAUGAAAAUUGCAAUCAAUUCUACAAAUGCUUUGAUGGGCAACCUGUAGCAUUGGAUUGUCCGCAAAACCUACUCUACAAUCCAGAAAAGGAAUAUUGUGACUGGGAAUGGAAUGUCAACUGUGGGAACCGCAUUAAGCCAGAUGACAUAAGCAGUGGAAACCCCAGUGAUGAUAAAGGCCCCGAACAAAUAUCUGGAGGAAACAGCGAUCCUAGCCAAGCUCCUGCCAUCUGCGCCGCUGAGGAUUCAGACGGCGUUCUGGUCGCUCAUGAAAAUUGCAAUCAAUUCUAUAAAUGCUUUGAUGGGCAACCUGUAGCAUUGGAUUGUCCGCAAAACCUACUCUACAAUCCAGAAAAGGAAUAUUGUGACUGGCCUUGGAAUGUUGACUGUGGCAACAGAGUUAUCCCUAGUGAAAUAGUUAUAGCUGAGAAGAAAAUAUAAGCAAUCAUAGGCGACCGGUUACCAUGCAGUGUUUACUUAAACUUCUAUAUAGCGAGACUGAAGAUUUGCUGUUGGGGUAAUCUAUGGAGACAGAAUCAUAAUAGAUAAUUUCGUUGGAGAAAACCACAAUGAAAAAUUUUAUUUUUAAAUUUGGACAUUUUAUUUAUUUUUUUGUUUUUGGUCAAAUUAUUUUGGAAAUAUGAUUUUUGUAAUACAUUUAUUUUAAUUAAAUGAGCUCAUUAAGCUUUUAAA